UAUCUCUGUAGAGUCUGCAUAUCAAUAAGCGGAGGAAAAGAAACUAACUAGGAUUCCCUUAGUAACGGCGAGUGAAGCGGGAAGAGCUCAAAUUUGAAAUCUUCAAGGUUCUACCUUGACGAAUUGUAGUUUAUAAGAAGUGUUUUCUGUUAGUAGAGUGGCUAAAAGUUCUUUGGAAUAGGACAUCAUAGAGGGUGAGAAUCCCGUAUUUGGUCAUUCUUUCUAGCUUGUGUGAUACACUUUCAACGAGUCGGAUUGUUUGGGAAUGCAGUCCAAAAUGGGUGGUAAAUUUCAUCUAAAGCUAAAUAUUGGCGAGAGACCGAUAGCGAACAAGUACCGUGAGGGAAAGAUGAAAAGAACUUUGAAAAGAGAGUUAAACAGUACGUGAAAUUGUCAAAAGGGAAGCGUUUGACACCAGUGUUGUUUUUCUCGAAAAUCAAUCAAAGGAUGGCUGGAUUUUAGUUGUCAUGACCUUAUAAGCUUGUUGCUUAUUUUUCCUGUCUUUCUUAAUGCACUUUUCGGUUAACAAGUCAACAUCAAUUUCUUUUGUUGUAAAAGAGUUAGAUGGAAGGUGGCUUUACUUUCGGGUGAAAGUGUUUAUAGCCUUUGAACUCUGCAAUCGGAGAGAUUGAGGUCUGCAGCGUAGAUCCUUCGGGGUUAGAUACAUUUGUGCUAAGCUAUAGCCUUGUAUAGACAACUUGUUGACUAUGCUCAGUCAUGUAGCUUACUCGCUUAUGCUAUUUUACCUACGCUUAGGAUGUUGACGCAUGAGAUAUACGC
rnacentral:rRNA from 1 species